UAUUCAAUGAUCAAGUUUCAUUCAUUCGACAAAAUUUCAUGUGAAACAUUCAUUUGAAAAAAAAAUCUUUGAUUUUAACGAAUUAAAAUGGUCAAAACAUUGAUUGUCGAUACGACGGCUGCACAUUUGAAUAAAAUUAAACGAAGACAACGGCAGAAAUUUUUCUACAAGAUUGCAUGUCUAAUCUACGUAAUUAUUGUCAUCGUAUUGAUGAUGUUUCUCAUUACACGUGCAUUUAAAUAUAAAUUUGAUGAAAAAUAUACCAAAUGUCAUCAAUCAUAUUGGAUCGAUACGGUUAUAUCGAUUUUAACAAUGGUUAUUAUUGUAAUUGCAUCCGGUAUUAUGAUGGCAUCAUCGAAUUAUGUUUUUGCAAAACCACCACCACCACCACCAAUUGAACGUUUAUCAUCAGUGAAUGCAACGGAAGAUUUUAUCCGUCGUAAUAGUUCAGUUGAUCAGAAUCGUAUGAAUUCCGAUGUGAAGAUAACGAAAAAUCCAUCUGUUGGUUCAGAUUGUUGGCUAACAGCCGUUCGUAAUGAUGCAUAUGAAAAUCAAAGACGAAAAUCAUCAUCGUUUAAUCCAAAUCUUUUACAUGUUUGAUAUUGAUAUAUUUAAUUUGUUUUUUUUCUAUUCAAUUCAAUUUCAUUUUUAUUUUUAUUUCUAUUAUAAUUGUAUAUUAUCAUUUGGAUAACGAGAACAUUUUGAUAAGAGUAAAAAUAAUAAUAAACAAAAUAGCAAUAACAAGAGUGAUUGAUAUUUUAUUUUGGCGAUAACAACAUUCAAACAUCAGCAACAACAACAACAACAACAACAAAAAAAUUCACGACGACAUUCAAAUCACCCCCAAAAUGGAAUUAUGUUUGGCAAUAUGACAAUUACAAUUGGCUUGCAUGAUGUUGAUGAUAAUUACAGUAUUUGAUGUGGGUUGAUUAAAAAAAAUGGAAGAAGAAAAUGAAGAAGAAAAAAACAGAAACACUCAAUUCAACACGCAAUGAUCAGUUGAAUGAAUGUAUUUACGAUGGAUGCUACAACAACGACCACCACCAAUCUCAAUAAUGUUGACAAUGAGCAACGAAAAUUUAAUGAAAAUAAUCAUCAUCGCAAUAUAUUCGUUGUAUUCAACGUGUUUGUGAUCAUAUUUUUUCUAUUGAUCAUAUUGUUGAUCAUUUCAUAUAUAUUAUUAUUCCAUAAAAUUGCCAAUGAUUCUGAUCAAUUGAAUAAUUAUAUUGAUUUUUAUCUAAAAAAUUGGCCCAAUAUUAUCAUACAAUUAUUAACAUUGAUGGCAUUAUCAUCUGCUUGUUUGUUGGCUACAUUUGCUAUUUAUCUAUUACGUGAUCAAUUUAAAUGUCAAUCACCAUUGAACUUUAAUUCUUGUUAUGAAGAACAAACAACGACAAUAAUUUUGGAUGAUCAGAACAAUUCUGGCAAUACAAUAACCAAAAGAAGUGAUGAUAAACAAAUUAAUGAAAUGGAUACAGUUGCCGUCACCAUUGAUAAACAGAUUAUAAUACAUUGAAUGAAUUUAUAUAUUACAUUUCAUUUAUAAACUUUUCCAUUUUU